CAGCACCAAGGUAAACCUGUUUCUCUCCAGCCAGAAUCCUCCUAACUUAGAAAUAAUGGUCUUUUCCAAACCGACGCCAUUUUGUGAGUCAGGAAAUGCAGUGUUUGUGUCGGAAAAACUUAUUUUUCUGCAUAAAAACAUCACAGUACACAUCUCCCCAAAGGACCAUUAACAUGGAUGUGCUGACUUCCUAAAGCAGAAUACACCCUGGAUCUCAGGGAACCUCACAGAGUCUAACCUGUUGUGAUGUCAGUGGGCAUGCCAGCAGAUCACCUGCCAGUGGUAAAGCGCUGCCAGAAGUUCUAGCAUUUCGACAAUGACGGAUGACACUCCCGUAUCGCUUGCAGCUACCGGAUAUAAUUCAUCUCAGAUGACAUCACCACCACAGCCGUUCACCCAGUUGGCAGAGAUAAUACAAACCACACAUAGGGUGGCAGGAGUUAGAGAAACCAUCUCCUGGGUGUAAGCGAUACACAGCGAUCGAGCCAUUGCCCACAGAAUGAUUUUAACCAAGGGGGAUUAAAAGAGAGGAACCAAGGCCAAGUGAGUUCACUUCAUUUCUUAUUCUACCAACUGCACUGAGAUUAACAAGGCUGUGAUUUCUUCUGCCAUGAGUUAUAAAGGGGAACUCAUAAAGAACAGAGUGAUUAAUGCACCAGAGAUGAUAAAUGGCAGAUUGUCAGCUUUGCUUUUAAGCAAAGACCUUUACAAAGUACGCUUCAAAGUACACGUUCUGGUAGAUUAACAAUGGACAUGGAGGUGUUCUACGUCAGAAAAAUGAAUGAUGGCGCUGUAGUUAAAGCACGCAACAACAGUGUUGCACGGCCAGAGAGCUCACUGCAAAACAAGAGUCAAAUCUGGACAAAGAAGCAUCAUAAAACACAAACAUCCACAGACUUACUCCCACAAAACACUUGACUUUUAACUUGGAUCUUUACACAUGGAUGGAUCAGCGAACGGUCCUACCCAAUCAGGGGUCCCCUAGACCAGAGAACUGUGAAAAGACUGGUAAUCCUUCUAUUGGAAACUCAAUCAAAUGACCACAAAACAAAUAAAAAA